rnacentral:SRP_RNA from 1 species
GCCGGGUGCGGUGGCGCGUGCCUGUAAUCCAAGUUACUUGGAGGCUGAGACUGGUGGAUCGUUUGAGCUCAGGAUCUCUGAGCUGCAGUGGACUAUGUCGAUCGGGUGUCCCAAUAAGUUCGGUAUCGAUAUGGUGCUCCUGGGGGAGGCCGGGACCACCAGGUCGUCUAAGGAGGGGUGCACCGGCCCAGGUCGGAAACGGAGCAGGCCAAAGCCCCGUGCCGUCAGUAGUGGGAUCGCGCCUGUGAAUAGAGGCUGUAGUGAAGCCUGAGUAAUACAGCGGGACCCAGUCUUUU